CGUCAGCGAUAUGGUAAUCGAGACUUCGCGCGUUAUACACAUUGUCAGUUCGAUUGUUCGAUAUCGAUAUAUUUAUAUAACAUAUUCACAGUUUCACACUCGCCACGUCUAUAUUAUUAUUAAAUAUUAAAUAAUACUAUCGUCUAUUAAGUAUUAUUGUCUAGUCAGUAUUUGUCUCGUAGUCGUGUGCGACCGUGCUGCUACAUCGUACAGACUUUUAUAAUUUUGCCUUUUUUAUAGUUUAAGUAUAUCGCAGUAGUUUGCAUUUUCGCGACUGCGAGACGCAAUAGUUAGCCUUAUACCUUAACUCACUUUGUACUACGCGCGUACGGCAUACACCUCAACACUGUUUCUUUUUCUCGUUUGCAACCGUGCUGCUACAAACACUGAAGAGUACUCUGCAUUAUCCGACUGCAGUUUGCAUUUUCGACACCAAAAUUGAAGUACAUGUGUAUAUUAUGUGUUAUCACGUCAUUUCACACAAUAAUGGAUCAAAUUAACAGUCAAACAAAGAUAUAUCAUUGACACCUAAGAUUUAGAAGGCAUAGAAGUAUACCCACAAAUAUUUUUAGCAAUACACCACUGAAUAAAACCAUUUGAUUCGUAUGAAGCAGCUGCUGCGGAGGAAAUAAAAUUAUUUAUAUCAUCAGGUGGUGAGUCACAGAGUGAUUCUGACACUGAACACAAAAAAGCAGCCCUAAAUGAAGACUAUAAUUAUAGUUCCAGUAGUGAUGACAAACCUUUAAGUAUUAAAAGAAAACAAUCAACUUCUGAACCAUAUAACAAAAUAAAAAAUGCACUAAAAAUACUACAAAAAUGACUUUAAAGCAGUAUCCUGCGUUUCAAAUUCGAAUACCACAUUACUUGCUGAUCUCUCUGGAAUAUUAAUUGAUGACAAUUUUAAUAAUUUGACACCUGCAGAUGAACAAGUAACUAAAGGAACAAAUUUAAUGCAGUUAAAAAAUAUUUUUGAUUUAUUUAAUUAAAUCUAUUGGUGGCUCUGGCACAAAAUAUUUUGUGUACUUCAAAAAUUAUUUUCCAAUAAAUUGGCCACACUUUGUUCAUGGACAGGACAAAAAAAUAAUUAUCGCCUUGUCGACCAUCAAAUUAUAAAAAUUAUGAAAAAAAUUUCACAUGAACUAUAUCAAAAUGACGAAAAUAUAUUUGAAGUUUAUGUAAAAGAUUGGUUCAGGCAUGGGACUCAGCGAUUAAAAAAAGAAAAUACUACAGACCACGUCAAUAACGCAAAUCAAUUGAAAAAUAUGUCUCUUCGGAAUUUUAAACGUUUGCUGUUGAAUGUUACCACAGACAAUACUCAAGCAAAAGAGCUGGUAAGUGUAUCAUCAACUUGUUCAAAUUCUGAUAUAACUGUUAAUAAUAUUGAAACCCUCAGUUGUUAAAAUGAAAUCUCCACAUCUAAAAUGUGUAAAAAUUAUGAUCCACCUAAUGCAUUACAAAUAGAAAGUUUAGAAUUACAACUUCAUAUAUCUAAUUCAUUGGGACAAAAUGAUAAUAUUUCUUGUAACAAUAAUCCUUCUGUUAAAGAAAAACUUCAGCAAUGGGUUUUUGAUAAUACCGUUACAAAAACUAGUGUUAAUAAUUUAUUGAAGAUUUUGAGGUCUGAGGGGUUGGAUUUUCCAAAAUAUGUACGUACAUUGAUGAAUACUCUUAGAACCCAUAACAUAAUUAUUAUAAAUCCUGGAACUUAUAUUCAUUUAGAUUUUAAAAAAAUGUUAUCUAUUUUAUUAAAGUUUUAUGCUUAGUGUUUGAAAAACGUCGAUGAAAUAUGUUUAAGUUUUAAUAUUGAUGGGUUACCAUUAGCACACAGUUCUAAACAACAAUUUUGGCCAAUACUUUGUUCAAUAAUAAAUGUACCUUUUCUAUCUAAAUUAGUUUUUGCUGUUGGUUUAUAUAUUAGUACACUUAAAUAACCAGAGUCUAUAGAUGACUUUUUAAAUUUUUUUAUUAAUGAAGCUAAAGAAUUGGUAAAGGAUGGAAUUAAUGUUGAUAAUAAGGUACUAUGUUUAUGUAUUAAGCAAUUCAUUUGCGAUUCUCCCACCAAAGCGUUUUUACUUAACGUAAAACGCUAUAAUUCUCGUGUAGGGUGUAAUACAUGCACAAUAGAGGGAGAAUAUAAAGAUCAUAGAAUGUCAUUCUUGGGUGUGAAUGCCUUGUUGCGUACUGAUAGUAGUUUUAGAACUAGAAAUGAUGACGAAUAUCAUAAAGGCAAUUCUCCUUUAAAGCAUAUUUUACAAAUUGAUAUAGUAUAAGUGCGAGGUAAGCAAUCGGUGAGAAUCCCCAAAGAAAAAUGUGAUUAUGCAGAUGAAGAGUUAAACAAUUUAAAAUUUUAAAACAAUAUGUCCCACCAGAAUUUGUUAGGCUUCCGAGAUCUUUAAAUGAUAUAGAAUAUUGGAAGUUAACCAAAUUUAGAACUUUUUUGUUAUAAUCUGGGCCAAUCGUACUAAAAGGAAGACUAAGAAAAAUAUUUUAUUUACACUUCAUAAAUUGCAUUGUGCCAUAAAAAUUUUGGUAACACCAGUUUUAUGUAUAGCUAAAAAUGAAGUAACAUUUAAUUUACUAAUUGAUUUUGUGACGGAGUUUAUUACUCAUCAUGGGGCGCAUUUUAUCACUCACAAUAUUCAUAGUUUGAUUCAUUUGCCAUUUUAUAUUAAGACACGGAUGUCUAGAUAAUUUUAGCGCUUUUAAAUAUGAAAAUUACUUGAGAAUUAUAAAAAAAAUACUUGCAUUUUU